AUGAAGACAAGUCAGGCUUCUGGUCUGAGCUUUUCUUGUUUGAUUGGAGCACAGCUCAGCCUGGGCUCUUAGUGGCAUGGGGAUUGGACCGGGGCCUUGUGCUGUGUGCUGUGUGCUCUCCCUCUCCCACCUGUCCUCUUUCCCUUUCUUCCUUACUUUCUGGAGAAGAGUACAGACCUGAAAGAAGGCACACUCCAAGAGGCAAAGCUUAGGCUUGACCUUGAGAAAUGAGGAAGUGCUGACCUCGGGCUCCCUGUGUGCCCGGAAAUGCAUUUAGUUAAAGGAAUAGUGUGCGCUCAGGACAGGCAGCCAGUGGGCCUGCUGACCCCAUUGCAGCGCCAGUGGUGUUCCUCCGGCUGCUCUGGACCAGGGGAUCGGAAGGCUUUCUUCUUGUGGCCGGGGCUAUAGCCCCAGGAAGCUGUGGACAGAGACGGGCAGAGCUGCUGAGGUUUGCAAGGGUCUCCCUUGGCUCAGGAGCCCCUCCCAGACCUAAGUCUGGGGCUCUGGGAGGGUGAGGGUACUGGGGUGUGCUCCCCCACUUUUCACAUCGGAAGUCCUGUGUCCCAGGAGCCCCUCCCUCUGUGUCAGGGAGCUGGGGAAUCUAGUCCUUGGGCAGGCUCCACAGAUGUCUCCAGUGUGGAAAAGUAGGUGAUAAUAGUGGCUGGAGAUUGGGAAUCAGCUGGAGAUUGGGAAUCAGCUGAGAGCACUCAUGGGACCCAGGGGGGCAUCUAGUAACCAGGUUUUAAAGAGUAUAACACACAAUAAAGUGCACAGAAUUUUUUCCUC